GCCCUCCCUCCCCACCCCAGGCCAAGUGCUGGCUUGGCUGCUGCGAUCCUCGCUUCUGCCCCCUCAGCUGCAACUCCCGCCACAAGCCACCGAGCCCAGCUGGGGUCAGGUGACCAUCUGCAGGCCCCAGUCAGAAUAUUAAUAUGGCAUGGAUUUCCAUUUUUAAUGAAUCCCUCAAGAAAUCAGAAGCACCUAUUUACUGCAUGGCCUCUUCAAAAGAAGCACAGGAAGCAGGGAAACCAGAACCCUGCCCACCUGAGUUCCUGAAGUGCCUACCUUCAAUAUGGCAGCUGCCUGCACUACGGCCUAUCCAGAAGCCUGCAUCAGAAAGCAACUCCCUAGCCCAAAACAACUGGCAGGCCAAAAGAC